UCUGGUUGAUCCUGCCGGAGGACAUUGCUAUUGGGAUUCGAUUUAGCCAUGCUAGUUGUACGAACUUAGAUUCGUAGCAGAUAGCUCAGUAACACGUGGCCAAGCUACCCUUCAGACCACCAUAACCUCGGGAAACUGAGGCUAAUAGUGGAUACGAUAUGCCUGCUGGAAUGCGGCAUACUCUAAACGCUCAGGCGCCGAAGGAUGCGGCUGCGGCCGAUUAGGUAGACGGUGGGGUAACGGCCCACCGUGCCAAUAAUUGGUACGGGUGAUGAGAGUCAGAGCCCGGAGACGGAAUCUGAGACAAGAUUCCGGGCCCUACGGGGCGCAGCAGGCGCGAAACCUUUACACUGCACGCAAGUGCGAUAGGGGAAUCCCAAGUGCGAGGGCAUACUAGCCCUCGCUUCUGUUGACUGUAAGGAGGUCAACGAAUAAGAGCUGGGCAAGACCGGUGCCAGCCGCCGCGGUAAUACCGGCAGCUCGAGUGAUGUCCAAUUUUAUUGGGCCUAAAGCGUCCGUAGCUGGCCAGCCAAGUCCGUCGGGAAAUCCACCUGCCCAACAGGUGGGCGUCCGGCGGAAACUGUCGGGCUUGGAACCGGAAGGCUC
rnacentral:rRNA from 1 species